rnacentral:rRNA from 1 species
AACGAACGCUGGCGGCAUGCCUAACACAUGCAAGUCGAACGAGACCUUCGGGUCUAGUGGCGCACGGGUGCGUAACGCGUGGGAACCUGCCCUUAGGUUCGGAAUAACUCCCCGAAAGGGGUGCUAAUACCGGAUAAUGUCUUCGGACCAAAGAUUUAUCGCCUUUGGAUGGGCCCGCGUUGGAUUAGCUAGUUGGUAGGGUAAAAGCCUACCAAGGCGACGAUCCAUAGCUGGUCUGAGAGGAUGAACAGCCACACUGGGACUGAGACACGGCCCAGACUCCUACGGGAGGGAGCAGUGGGGAAUAUUGGACAAGGGGCGAAAGCCUGAUCCAGCAAUGCCGCGUGAGUGAUGAAGGCCUUAGGGUUGUAAAGCUCUUUUACCCGGGAUGAUAAUGACAGUACCGGGAGAAUAAGCUCCGGCUAACUCCGUG